rnacentral:rRNA from 1 species
UGGGGAAUUUUGGACAAUGGGCGAAAGCCUGAUCCAGCAAUGCCGCGUGUGUGAAGAAGGCCUUCGGGUUGUAAAGCACUUUUGUCCGGAAAGAAAUCCUUGGCUCUAAUACAGUCGGGGGAUGACGGUACCGGAAGAAUAAGCACCGGCUAACUACGUGCCAGCAGCCGCGGUAAUACGUAGGGUGCAAGCGUUAAUCGGAAUUACUGGGCGUAAAGCGUGCGCAGGCGGUUUGCUAAGACCGAUGUGAAAUCCCCGGGCUCAACCUGGGAACUGCAUUGGUGACUGGCAGGCUAGAGUAUGGCAGAGGGGGGUAGAAUUCCACGUGUAGCAGUGAAAUGCGUAGAGAUGUGGAGGAAUACCGAUGGCGAAGGCAGCCCCCUGGGCCAAAUACUGACGCUCAUGCACGAAAGCGUGGGGGAGCAAAACAGGAUUAGAUACCCUGGUAGUCCACGCCCUAAAACGAUGUCAACUAGUUGUUGGGGAUUCAUUUCCUUAGUAACGUAGCUAACGCGUGAAGUUGACCGCCUGGGGAGUACGGUCGCAAGAUUAAAACUUAAAUGAAUUGAC